UACGAGAGGCCCAAACGUUAUUCGGAAUUACUGGGCUUAAAGAGCUCGUAGGCGGUUUGUCGCGUCUGCCGUGAAAGUCCGGGGCUCAACUCCGGAUCUGCGGUGGGUACGGGCAGACUAGAGUGAUGUAGGGGAGACUGGAAUUCCUGGUGUAGCGGUGAAAUGCGCAGAUAUCAGGAGGAACACCGAUGGCGAAGGCAGAUCUCUGGGCCGUAACUGACGCUGAGGAGCGAAAGCGUGGGGAGCGAACAGG
rnacentral:rRNA from 1 species